AUUAUGGAUUUCCAUGAGCUGUAAACCAUAAUUAUCAAGAUUAAACAAAAAAAGGCUUAACAUGUUUCACUUUAUUUGAUGAGUCAAGAAU